CGGUCAUAUCGAUAAUAAUAGUUGAAGAUUCCUGUAAAACAUAACGGCUCCAUGGUUCUAUGGCGUGUUCCUAACUCUGUUUCUGUUUGUGCUUAUUCUCAUAACUUUAUUGAUAUGGUCAUUACUAGCGAUUCUGGUUCCCAUUGGUAUUUGACUGGCUUUUACGGAUAUCCAGACCGACGGAGUCGUCACUUUUCUUGGUCUCUCCUUCGUUAACUGGCCGCUUUGUCUGAUCUUCUCUGGGUUUGUUUGGGCGACUUCUUUGAUUUGUUAAGCUCUAAGGACAAGCAUGGUGGGCUUCCCCAUCUGCUUGCUCUAUUAGAUGGUUUUCGUAACACAGUGGACGCUUGUAACCUUGUUGAUCUUCCACUGUAUGGCCAUCCUUUCACUUGGGAAAGGGGUCGGGGCACAUCUCAUUUUGUGGAGGAGAAACUAGACUGUGCACUAGCUUCUCCUAACUGGAUUAAUCUUUUUCCUGCAUCUCAUUUAUUAAAUUUGAUUGAACUAGUGUCGAAUCAUUCACCUAUUCUUUUGGACAUCUCAGCUUCGUCUUUCUUAGUUGGGCUUCGCAGAUUCAAAUUUGAAAACCCCUCGUUCUUCGAACCAGACUUAGAUGAUGUUGUUUCUGCUUCUUUAUAUUUACUGCCUAAACUCGCUUCUUAUUGUCAGUCUUUGCACAAUUGGGGUUGUGCUAUAGCAGGCAGGUUUAAACAUCGUAUCCAGGCUUUGCUUCAUCAAAUGCAUCAGUG
rnacentral:misc_RNA from 1 species